ACCUGUGUAGCUCAGUCGGUUAGAGCGUGGGUCUAAUAAGCCCAAGGUCGCAGGUUCGACCCCUGCUGGCGGCA
rnacentral:tRNA from 1 species